rnacentral:lncRNA from 1 species
CAAGAUCAAGGGGAAAAAUAAUAUUUCAAGCCUAAAAGGAGAAUCUAGUGCAAAAGAUUAUUAAGCUUGUCUAGCAGAAAUAUCAGAAAGCUUGUCUUCUGAAAUCUUCUGAGAAAGAUAUAAGAAAUUAUAAGCAUAAUGACUACAGCAGGAUUGUAAAACUGAGGACUGUCUUUCACAGGGUUUUUGGUGAGAAGCAGUCUGAAAUCACAGCUAAUGCAAGGACCCAUGCUGAGCACAACCACCUUCCUGCUGCUGAGAGUGGAUCACAGGGCUACCAGUAGAGAACUUGGUUUGUCUCACUCUGCAAAGGUUUUCUUCUUCCAAGUUUAAUGUCUCAAAUCUCAAAUCAUCUGCUAAUAGUAAU